UAUUAAAAAUAUUUACCUCAUCUAAUAAUCUUAUUUAUUUUAACUAUGAUAUGUUUACAAUUCACCGAGAUUUUAUUAAUGUACAAUCAGAAUCCGUGGCAACUGGCCCCUGGCGUAAAUACACAGUGCGGUUCUUAGGAAAAUAAACGAAAUUUUAAAAGCAUAUCAUAAAGUUGUGUUUCCAGGUGGAUAAGUUUUUUUAUGGUUAGAGGCAGCGCGCGCAACAAACAGAUUAUCGGUAUAAUGGAUGCAGAAACGGAGUUGAUACAAGAAAUUGAGUCAAUACAAACACUCAAUGCCAGUCUUCAGGCAUACUUGGAAUAUUUGAUCCAUUUCAGAAAGAACCUCAUCAAAAUGAAUGAAAAUUGCAAACAGCUGAGUAAAGUGAACACACAGUGGAUUGAUAUACUUAAGAAAUGAUUGUACCAUUAUGUAAUUAAAGUUAAGUUUUACAUGCUA